rnacentral:rRNA from 1 species
CAGUCGCGUCUGUCGGAAUUCAGCCUGGCUUUUGCCUGGUGUAUUUUCUGGCUGACGGGUCAGCAUCAAUUUCGACCGAGGGAAAAAGACUUGGGGGAUGUGGCUGUCUUCGGGCAGUGUUAUAGACCCUUGUUGUAUGUCUCGGUUGGGAUUGAGGAAUGCAGCGCGCCUUUUGGCCGGGGUUCGCGCCCUCGGUACGCGCUUAGGAUGCUGGCAUAAUGGCUUUAAGCGACCCGUCUUGAAACACGGACCAAGGAGUCUAACAUAUAUGCGAGUGUU